UACGGAGGAUGCAAGCGUUGUUCGGAUUUACUGGGCGUAAAGUGUGUCUAGGCGGAGACGUAUGUCAGGUGUGAAAGACCCGGGCUCAACCCGGGAAAUGCGCCUGAAACUGCGUUUCUUGAGUUAUGGAGAGGUAAGCAGAAUACCUAGUGUAGCAGUGAAAUGCGUAGAUAUUAGGUGGAACACCGGAGGCGAAGGCGGCUUACUGGCCAUACACUGACGCUGAAGCACGAAAGCGUGGGGAGCAAACAGG
rnacentral:rRNA from 1 species